CGUCAGGCUGGGGGGGUCGAGCGGAGGCCGGGGGCGGGCCGCGAAGGCUCGCUCAGGAGGGGGCUGCGACCCGCAGCGACCUGUGGACCCGCCCGCUCUCCGCCCGGGGGCUCGGACCUCCGCCUCUCUGGGUGCCCGGACCUCAACCCCUCCGGGUGUCCAGCAGCCCCGGGGCUCGGAGUCGCGGGCUGCGCCACAGCGCCUGGAGGGAGGUGGGGCGGGGGAGGGACUCCGGGUAUGGCCACGGGGGAAUCACACUCACCCGAUCUUUCUGAAGUGUCCCCCGAAGACUCCGGGCGGGCUGGGCUGGGGAGAGGGACUCCCGACCGUGCAGUUGCAGGAACGACCGCGGGCGAGCCACGUCGAGGCGAGUAUCCAGGGGAGGCACGCUGGGGGAACCGAGGCGUCUUUUGGGGCGGACCAGAGGGGUCUGCCGUUUGGCCCCCAAUUCUGCCUCUUUCUAGGCCCCGAGGACCACUGGUCCCUGCCCUCAAGUCUGGAAAGGGCUUCACCAGCCAGGAAGACCCUUCAAUCAACAGAAAGGGCCUGCUCCUGCUUCUCACGCUUUGGGCAAAGCGCCUAUCCCCAGAAAAUGACUCCUCGUGCCACUGGAAGGCUGAUUAACAAGUGGCAUGAGCCCUACUGUUCAGAUGAAAGGGGCUGUGGGGAGCCACGCUGCAGAACCACCGCCACCUUCAGAACCACCAGCCUCCGCCCACAGCCACUCCUAGAAGCAACUUGUAGCUCUGGCCUCAUGGGCGGUGCAGCGUCUUUCCUGCCAGCUGGUCCUCUGAGCUGGGCAGGUGGUUAGAAGAGGUGGUCCUCAUGGAGGACACCCCACGGGCACCUGGAGACAGAUGCUACCUCCUGGCUAGGGGCAAAAGGCAGAGGUGAAGGGGCUUGACGUCCUGAGGUUUGGAGGUAACUUUAAGCCAGGGUGCAGUCCUGGAGGGGAGGAACACUUCAGGCUGCGUCAGCAGAUCUGGAUUAUAAAUCAGUCCGACAGCAGCUUUUGUUCUGGGUUAAAACUUGGCAUCUGAAAAGUGGAGACCAGAAAAGUGGUGGAGAUAAUUGAGAAAAGCAGCCCAGUUUGGUUUCAGUAACAAUCGGGUCUUUGCUGGUACACAUAAUGGCCCCUUCUCCCUUGCUGGCCAAAGCCACGUUUCCCAGCUCUUUUCCACUAGGAAAAAGAAAAAAAGCUGUGGCCUUGGAGAUGCUGGAGAUAAUGACCAUGGGGUGGGCAGGGAAGGCCUCCUGCUUCAGCUGACAAGGUGGGAGAAGGUGUGUCACCCUCGUGUUUAGUUUAUUCCCCGUAUCUAUUCAAGCGGAGGGUAAACUGAGAUGCAAGUGCCCUCACUUGUGUUCUGUGCUUUAGAUUUUUGCAGCUUGUCUUGAUGUACAUUUUCUUACUUCACCCUUAUGACCACCCUUUAAAAAGUGUGAAGGUUACCAGGAGAGACCUGAGCUCGCUGGCUCUGACUCCAAGGUGGCCUCAGUGGAAAGUUUCAAAAGGCAACCGGUUUGGUUUCACUGGCAGGGCAGCGGCAGGCGUUUGGGUUCUGGAGGCCCAGGAAUGUAGAAGCCUCCAGCUAACAGACUCCACGCGCCUAUCCUCCCAAACGCUCUCGGAGAUAAGCUCCCAGCUCCCUCCCCUUUUCCACCUUCAUGCACUUCCUGCUGUAUUCUGUCCAUUCCAGCACUGGCCCUUUCUGUGGGUGGGUGGGCAGAGGAUACAAUUUCCUGCAUGACUACUUGCUCAUGAUUCAUACUU
rnacentral:lncRNA from 1 species